rnacentral:rRNA from 1 species
UACAGAGGUGGCAAGCGUUGUUCGGAAUUACUGGGCGUAAAGGGCGCGUAGGCGGUUCGUUAAGUCCUGUGUGAAAUCCCCCGGCUCAACUGGGGAACUGCACAGGAAACUAGCGGGCUUGAGUUCGGGAGAGGGAAGCGGAAUUCCGGGUGUAGCGGUGAAAUGCGUAGAUAUCAGGAGGAACACCGGUGGCGAAGGCGGAUCUCUGGGCCUUACCUGACGCUGAGGCGCGAAAGCUAGGGGAGCGAACAGG